rnacentral:lncRNA from 1 species
CUGAGGCGUGCGAAUACUCAUUUGCAUUUGCUCCGUCGCAAAUUUCGACUUUUUCUGUAUUGCAGUAAGUGUAAAGUAAUAUGGUGUUUUUUUCCUAGUUGUGGUAUUUGUCAAAAAAAGUGUAUAAUACAGAAUCAAUGUAGUAAUUAAGGUGGAGCUCCUGAUGGAAAAAGACCGAACAGCAGUGAUUCCCAGCAAUCUAGCCAGAGAUUUCUGCCUUGCUCCAUGGGGUCUAUGCUACGUUUUGGAUGGGACAGCUGCUGUGCCCUGAAGCAAGGAGACCAAGCCCAGCAGCACCAGUAAAGCCAUCUGGUGCCACCAGUUACCCCUGCAGCUGAAAACCCCCAUACAAGGGGGUGGCAGAUAUCCACCUGCUAUUGGAACCCUGCAUGGAAGCAAAGCAGAUCUGCUAAAUAGGAUCAUAAUAGCUGCCAGGGUAUCACAUCAGACUAGCACUGGGUCAAAUGGAGAUGUCAAGAUGUUGUGCCUGCACUAUGGGUUCAUGGGCCUGACAACCCUGGAAGGGAGGAUGAAGAAGCUAACAGCCUGUAACAGGGUAGGAUGGGAGCGCUAACAGCCAGAUGCUCCUGCAGAUGCUACACAGGUUUGUGGACAUGGUGGUGUUGGACCUGGAAGAAGAGGCUGUCUGCUCUAGAUCCUGCAAAUACACACAACCUCAGGAAUCUCAGCCUGGGUCCAGUUCCGUCUGCAGGCUUCGGUGGAUUUCGUUCUGCGGACGGUACAAGGGGGCCUACGUGCAGGAUCGUUAACUGCUCGAGUGUCCGGCUGAUGGAGCGCAUGCUGCUGUAACAAGGAGGGCAGGGUGUGACGUUAGCUGGAGAUUAUUGCCACAGAAAGAGUUCAUCGGUCAUCCGGAAAUCCAGAUAAGAGGAGACGAACGUAGGUUGAGCCAAUCAAGGAAGAGCCUGGUGAAUAGCAACAUGGGGUGGAGGAGACUGCCUGUGACCGAACAAGACAAGGGAAGAGCAGUUUAGCAGGUAACAAGCGGUUGGCUUUAAUCACA